UUUUUUUCUUUUGAAAAUAAAAGGUUUCCGUUGGUGACCAGCGGAGGAUCAUUAGUGAGACUUAGCGCUUCCAACCCUUGCGAAUCUACCAUUGCGGCGGUUGUUUCGGUGGGUUUGUCAGCUGGAUUUGUCCGCUGACAUGCCGCCCUGGCCCAGCGGAGCCCGCCGGGCAGCGCCAAAUUUCUCAGUUUUUAGUGAAAGUCUUCUGAGUGGCAAAGCAAAACAAGCAAAACUUUCAACAACGGAUCUCUUGGUUCUGGCAUCGAUGAAGAACGCAGCGAAAUGCGAUAAGUAAUGUGAAUUGCAGAAUUCAGUGAAUCAUCGAAUCUUUGAACGCACAUUGCGCCCGGUGGUAAUCCGCCGGGCAUGCCUGUUCGAGCGUCAUUUCUAUGCUCAGGCCCUACCGCUUAGCGGUAAAGGCUCUGGUUUUGGGGGCAUGCAGCGCAAGCUGCAGUUCCUAAUUGCAUCGGCGUACACGUGUAUGCUGCCCCCUGCGUAGUGGUUUUACAUAUCGCAUCGGGCCGUGCCGUGGUGCUGCCGCAACACCCAUUUUUUCUAGUUUGACCUCGAAUCAGGUAGGGUUACCCGCUGAACUUAAGCAUAUCAAUAAGCGGAGGAAAAGAAACCAACAGGGAUUGCCCUAGUAACGGCGAGUGAAGCGGCAACAGCUCAAAUUUGAAAUCUGGCGCUUGCGCCCGAGUUGUAAUUUGCAGAGGAUGCUUCUUGCGCGGUGCCUUCCGAGUUCCCUGGAACGGGACGCCAUAGAGGGUGAGAGCCCCGUACGGUUGGUAACCAAGCUAUUGUGUAGCACCUUCGACGAGUCGAGUAGUUUGGGAAUGCUGCUCUAAAUGGGAGGUAAACUCCUUCUAAAGCUAAAAUAUUGGCCAGAGACCGAUAGCGCACAAGUAGAGUGAUCGAAAGAUGAAAAGCACUUUUGAAAAGAGAGUCAAAUAGCACGUGAAAUUGUUGAAAGGGAAGCGCUUGUGACCAGACUUGGGCUUGGGUAGUUCAGCCGUCCUUCUGGGGCGGUGCAUUCUGCCAGUUCAGGCCAGCAUCAGUUGCCGGUCGGGGAGAAAGAUAGUGGGAACCGUGGCUCUUCGGAGUGUUAUAGCCCGCUAUUAUGCCUUUUCCGGCGACUGAGGUUAGCUUUCGCUCGAUGCGGCAAUGCUUCACCAACCCUUUAAAACGAAAAAA
rnacentral:rRNA from 1 species